rnacentral:rRNA from 1 species
CGGAGGGUGCAAGCGCUAUCCGGAUUCACUGGGUUUAAAGGGUGCGUAGGUGGGCAGGUAAGUCAGUGGUGAAAUCCCUGGGCUUAACCCGGGAACUGCCAUUGAUACUAUCUGUCUUGAAUGUUGUGGAGGUGAGCGGAGUAUGUCGUGUAGCGGUGAAAUGCUUAGAUAUGACAUAGAACAUCUAUUGCGAAGGCAGCUCACUACGCAAAUAUUGACACUGAGGCACGAAAGCGUGGGGAUCAAACAGGAUUAGAUACCCUGGUAGUCCACGCCCUAAACGAUGGAUACUCGACAUACGCGAUACACAGUGUGUGUCUGAGCGAAAGCAUUAAGUAUCCCACCUGGGAAGUACGACCGCAAGGUUG